AUUGAACGCUGGCGGCAGGCCUAACACAUGCAAGUCGAACGAUUGGCGGACGGGAGUGUAAUGUCUGGGAAUCUGCCCGAUGGAGGGGGAUAACCAAUGGAAAAGGUAGCUAAUACCGCAUACUAUCGGAUUGGCCCAGAUGGGAUUAGCUAGUGGGGGGGGGAAAGGCGCACCUUGGCGACGACCCCGAGCUGGUCUGAGAGGAGAACCAGCCACACUGGAACUGGGACCCGGUCCAGACUCCUACGGGAGUCAGAAGUGGGGAAUAUGGCACAAGGGGCGCAAGCAUGAUGCAGCCAUGCGGCGGGUAUGAAGAAGGCCUUCGGGGUGUAAAGUACUUUCAGCGGGGAGGCGUUACCCGAAGAAGAAGCAGCGGCUAACUCCGUGCCAGCAGCCGCGGUAAUUC
rnacentral:rRNA from 1 species